UACGUAGGGGGCAAGCGUUGUCCGGAUUUAUUGGGCGUAAAGAGCGUGUAGGCGGCUUGGUAGGUCUUGCGUCAAAACCUGAGGCUCAACCUCAGUUCGCGUGGGAAACCAUCUAGCUAGAGUCCGGAAGAGGAGAACGGAAUUCCCAGUGUAGCGGUGAAAUGCGCAGAUAUUGGGAAGAACACCAGUGGCGAAGGCGGUUCUCUGGGACGGUACUGACGCUGAGACGGCGAAAGCGUGGGGAGCGAACAGG
rnacentral:rRNA from 1 species